CAAACUGAAGAUGGCGACCGGCGCACGGGUGAGUAACACGUAUCCAACCUGCCGAUAACUCCGGAAUAGCCUUUCGAAAGAAAGAUUAAUACCGGAUGGCAUACGAAUAUCGCAUGAUAUUUUUAUUAAAGAAUUUCGGUUAUCGAUGGGGAUGCGUUCCAUUAGUUUGUUGGCGGGGUAACGGCCCACCAAGACUACGAUGGAUAGGGGUUCUGAGAGGAAGGUCCCCCACAUUGGAACUGAGACACGGUCCAAACUCCUACGGGAGGCAGCAUG
rnacentral:rRNA from 1 species